rnacentral:rRNA from 1 species
UGCAAGCGUUACUCGGAAUUACUGGGCGUAAAGCGUGCGUAGGUGGUUCGUUAAGUCUGAUGUGAAAGCCCUGGGCUCAACCUGGGAAUGGCAUUGGAAACUGGCGACCUAGAGUGCGGUAGAGGGCAGUGGAAUUCCCGGUGUAGCAGUGAAAUGCGUAGAGAUCGGGAGGAACAUCUGUGGCGAAGGCGACUGCCUGGACCAGCACUGACACUGAGGCACGAAAGCGUGGGGAGCAAACAGG